CAUUAAAGCCUAGUGCUCCUCAUCGGGUUGUCCCCUCCCUGCUGACCCAUCUCACUUGGUAUCACUGAAGCAACAUAGCAGGAUAAUUGUGUUGGCACCCAAGAAGCACCCCUAUUCUCCUCUUGAACGACGGGUUAUCUGCUGCUUAAUCCUUCCACUACUGCCUCAUUAAAGCCUAGUGCUCCUCAUCGGGUUGUCCCCUCCCUGCUGACCCAUCUCACUUGGUAUCACUGAAGCAACAUAGCAGGAUAAUUGUGUUGGCACCCAAGAAGCACCCCUAUUCUCCUCUUGAACGACGGGUUAUCUGCUGCUUAAUCCUUCCACUACUGCCUCAUUAAAGCCUAGUGCUCCUCAUCGGGUUGUCCCCUCCCUGCUGACCCAUCUCACUUGGUAUCACUGAAGCAACAUAGCAGGAUAAUUGUGUUGGCACCCAAGAAGCACCCCUAUUCUCCUCUUGAACGACGGGUUAUCUGCUGCUUAAUCCUUCCACUACUGCCUCAUUAAAGCCUAGUGCUCCUCAUCGGGUUGUCCCCUCCCUGCUGACCCAUCUCACUUGGUAUCACUGAAGCAACAUAGCAGGAUAAUUGUGUUGGCACCCAAGAAGCACCCCUAUUCUCCUCUUGAACGACGGGUUAUCUGCUGCUUAAUCCUUCCACUACUGCCUCAUUAAAGCCUAGUGCUCCUCAUCGGGUUGUCCCCUCCCUGCUGACCCAUCUCACUUGGUAUCACUGAAGCAACAUAGCAGGAUAAUUGUGUUGGCACCCAAGAAGCACCCCUAUUCUCCUCUUGAACGACGGGUUAUCUGCUGCUUAAUCCUUCCACU